rnacentral:rRNA from 2 species
UGUUUCGGCUAGGGGGCCAUCCCGGCUUACCAACCCGAUGCAAACUGCGAAUACCGGAGAAUGUUAUCACGGGAGACACACGGCGGGUGCUAACGUCCGUCGUGAAGAGGGAAACAACCCAGACCGCCAGCUAAGGUCCCAAAGUCAUGGUUAAGUGGGAAACGAUGUGGGAAGGCCCAGACAGCCAGGAUGUUGGCUUAGAAGCAGCCAUCAUUUAAAGAAAGCGUAAUAGCUCACUGGUCGAGUCGGCCUGCGCGGAAGAUGUAACGGGGCUAAACCAUGCACCGAAGCUGCGGCAGCGACACUGUGUGUUGUUGGGUAGGGGAGCGUUCUGUAAGCCUGUGAAGGUGGCCUGUGAGGG